AUUUCUUAACCACCCAAAUCCCUUGAACAAGAUCUUGAAUUCUAUGAUCCCACAAAGAGUACAGAAACCACCAGAAUUAGUUGAAAAAAAAAAAACUGGGUUAUUUAACUUCAAAAAUAGAAGACUUAGAAGCUGCUGGAAAUUAAUAUCUUCUUCUCCUUUCCUCUAUAUUCAGAAGAGAUGAUCUUACCCCUUUGCAAAGCUCAUUUUACAGAUGAGGAAGCCAAGGCAAACAGUGCAACUCAUAUUUGAAUAUAUACAAGAAUCUGUGGUCUCAUCCAUGAAGAAAUGAGAGUUGGAACACUGAUGUCAAGGGAAAGCAAUUCAGGUAACAAUAGCAUCUGGCAGCUGUGAUGUAAAACUGGAGCAGAUGACAAGAGCCUUCUUUGUCAAGAUGGUCGAUCUUUGCCUGGUGGAUAAUCAUGGGCUCUCCAAGGGCAGGGGAGUCAUAUUCAUCUGAAUCAAUUAUGUGGUAUCCACUGCAUGUACUUGUUGAAUGGCCUCCUCCCACUAUGGCCAAGAAAGUCAGGAGAGUGAUGGGACUGCAAAUCCUUCUCCUUGUUCAAAUAAUUUUUCCUCCUCAGUUUCUAUAACUAUAGAUCUUCUGAUAAUAUGGAAUACCAUCUGGCUUUGCCAUUACAGUCUGAAGACACCUGGGCCUUGCCAUCUGCCCCAUCACCGACCCCUUAGGGCUUUUGGGCUUUGAUAUCAGUCCUGCAGCUGAACUCUUAUAUGUGCUGUCUCCUCUAAUUAAAAUGUGAGUUCUUGGAGAGCAGGGUCACACACUCUCCCUCUUCUUCUUUC